GGGUGACUGCGUACCUUUUGUAUAAUGGGUCAGCGACUUAUAUUCUGUAGCAAGGUUAACCGUAUAGGGGAGCCGCAGGGAAACCGAGUCUUAACUGGGCGUUAAGUUGCAGGGUAUAGACCCGAAACCCGGUGAUCUAGCCAUGGGCAGGUUGAAGGUUGGGUAACACUAACUGGAGGACCGAACCGACUAAUGUUGAAAAAUUAGCGGAUGACUUGUGGCUGGGGGUGAAAGGCCAAUCAAACCGGGAGAUAGCUGGUUCUCCCCGAAAGCUAUUUAGGUAGCGCCUCGUGAACUCAUCUUCGGGGGUAGAGCACUGUUUCGGCUAGGGGGUCAUCCCGACUUACCAACCCGAUGCAAACUACGAAUACCGAAGAAUGUUAUCACGGGAGACACACGGCGGGUGCUAACGUCCGUCGUGAAGAGGGAAACAACCCAGACCGCCAGCUAAGGUCCCAAAGUCAUGGUUAAGUGGGAAACGAUGUGGGAAGGCCCAGACAGCCAGGAUGUUGGCUUAGAAGCAGCCAUCAUUUAAAGAAAGCGUAAUAGCUCACUGGUCGAGUCGGCCUGCGCGGAAGAUGUAACGGGGCUAAACCAUGCACCGAAGCUGCGGCAGCGACACUAUGUGUUGUUGGGUAGGGGAGCGUUCUGUAAGCCGUUGAAGGUGGCCUGUGAGGGUUGCUGGAGGUAUCAGAAGUGCGAAUGCUGACAUAAGUAACGAUAAUGCGGGUGAAAAACCCGCACGCCGGAAGACCAAGGGUUCCUGUCCAACGUUAAUCGGGGCAGGGUGAGUCGACCCCUAAGGCGAGGCCGAAAGGCGUAGUCGAUGGGAAACAGGUUAAUAUUCCUGUACUCGGUGUUACUGCGAAGGGGGGACGGAGAAGGCUAUGUUGGCCGGGCGACGGUUGUCCCGGUUUAAGCAUGUAGGCGGAUGUUCCAGGUAAAUCCGGAACGUUACUAACGCUGAGGUGUGAUGACGAGGCACUACGGUGCUGAAGUGACAAAUGCCCUGCUUCCAGGAAAAGCCUCUAAGCAUCAGGUAACAUCAAAUCGUACCCCAAACCGACACAGGUGGUCAGGUAGAGAAUACCAAGGCGCUUGAGAGAACUCGGGUGAAGGAACUAGGCAAAAUGGUGCCGUAACUUCGGGAGAAGGCACGCUGAUGGUAGGUGAAGCGACUUGCUCGUGGAGCUGAAAUCAGUCGAAGAUACCAGCUGGCUGCAACUGUUUAUUAAAAACACAGCACUGUGCAAACACGAAAGUGGACGUAUACGGUGUGACGCCUGCCCGGUGCCGGAAGGUUAAUUGAUGGGGUUAUCCGUAAGGAGAAGCUCUUGAUCGAAGCCCCGGUAAACGGCGGCCGUAACUAUAACGGUCCUAAGGUAGCGAAAUUCCUUGUCGGGUAAGUUCCGACCUGCACGAAUGGCGUAAUGAUGGCCAGGCUGUCUCCACCCGAGACUCAGUGAAAUUGAACUCGCUGUGAAGAUGCAGUGUACCCGCGGCAAGACGGAAAGACCCCGUGAACCUUUACUAUAGCUUGACACUGAACACUGGUCCUUGAUGUGUAGGAUAGGUGGGAGGCUUUGAAGUGUGGACGCCAGUCUGCAUGGAGCCAUCCUUGAAAUACCACCCUUUAAUGGCUGGUGUUCUAACGUGGGCCCGUAAUCCGGGUUGCGGACAGUGUCUGGUGGGUAGUUUGACUGGGGCGGUCUCCUCCUAAAGAGUAACGGAGGAGCACGAAGGUCAGCUAAUCCUGGUCGGACAUCAGGAGGUUAGUGCAAUGGCAUAAGCUGGCUUGACUGCGAGCGUGACGGCGCGAGCAGGUGCGAAAGCAGGUCAUAGUGAUCCGGUGGUUCUGAAUGGAAGGGCCAUCGCUCAACGGAUAAAAGGUACUCCGGGGAUAACAGGCUGAUACCGCCCAAGAGUUCAUAUCGACGGCGGUGUUUGGCACCUCGAUGUCGGCUCAUCACAUCCUGGGGCUGAAGUAGGUCCCAAGGGUAUGGCUGUUCGCCAUUUAAAGUGGUACGCGAGCUGGGUUUAGAACGUCGUGAGACAGUUCGGUCCCUAUCUGCCGUGGGCGCUGGAGAAUUGAGGGGGGCUGCUCCUAGUACGAGAGGACCGGAGUGGACGCAUCACUGGUGUUCGGGUUGUCAUGCCAAUGGCAUUGCCCGGUAGCUAAAUGCGGAAGAGAUAAGUGCUGAAAGCAUCUAAGCACGAAACUUGCCCCGAGAUGAGUUCUCCCUGAC
rnacentral:rRNA from 1 species